rnacentral:rRNA from 1 species
GAUGAACGCUGGCGGCGUGCCUAAUACAUGCAAGUCGAGCGAACGGACGAGAAGCUUGCUUCUCUGAUGUUAGCGGCGGACGGGUGAGUAACACGUGGAUAACCUACCUAUAAGACUGGGAUAACUUCGGGAAACCGGAGCUAAUACCGGAUAAUAUUUUGAACCGCAUGGUUCAAAAGUGAAAGACGGUCUUGCUGUCACUUAUAGAUGGAUCCGCGCUGCAUUAGCUGGUUGGUAAGGUAACGGCUUACCAAGGCAACGAUGCAUAGCCGACCUGAGAGGGUGAUCGGCCACAUUGGAACUGAGACACGGUCCAGACUCCUACGGGAGGCAGCAGUAGGGAAUCUUCCGCAAUGGGCGAAAGCCUGACGGAGCAACGCCGCGUGAGUGAUGAAGGUCUUCGGAUCGUAAAACUCUGUUAUUAGGGAAGAACAUAUGUGUAAGUAACUGUGCACAUCUUGACGGUACCUAAUCAGAAAGCCACGGCUAACUACGUG